GAAAAUGAUGAUACUGUUGUCGCCCCAGUCUUACUUGCAUCAACAGAUGCAAGAUGGUGAUGGACGUAUUCAUAUCUGAUUC
rfam:Prunus persica cultivar Lovell chromosome G4, whole genome shotgun sequence.